UACGUAGGUGGCAAGCGUUGUCCGGAAUUAUUGGGCGUAAAGCGCGCGCAGGUGGUUUCUUAAGUCUGAUGUGAAAGCCCCACGGCUCAACCGUGGAGGGUCAUUGGAAACUGGGGAACUUGAGUGCAGAAGAGGAAAGUGGAUUCCAAGUGUAGCGGUGAAAUGACGUAGAGAAUUUGGAGGAACACCAGUGGCGAGGCGGACAUUCUGGUCGCUGUAAACGUUGAGCCAUCCUGAGGCCUCGGAAAAGCCGGUGGGGACGGAGCGCAAGAAGGGCGAACAUUCGAAUGAAAUACCCCCCGUUACGGUUUAGGUCCCG
rnacentral:rRNA from 1 species